UUUCCGACGAACCUUUGUCUUUGCAGCCCUUUCACGCAAGCUCUCUGGAUCACUCGCUGACUCGGCCUUGCGAUUCUAUCUCACUCGUUUUUGUGUUGAUUAACCCCGCGUGCUUUCUGGGAUUUGUGGGUUCGCAGCCGUUUCGCAAUUUCAAGCAUGUUGCUCGAAUUCCUGACUGAUUUUUGGAAAUUGGGGUGCUGUCUUCCGCGAGUUUUGGUUUUUUCUGGAUCACAACGUUUCUCAGUUUGUAUGUCAUGUCGGUCUGGGCGAUUGGAGGAAUUUGGGACGUCGCGCUGAGCUUGACUGGUUUGACGGUGAUUUCGAUCUUGCUGCUCAUACUUACAUAGACUUGGUUAGUCGGUAUGGUCGAUGCGGUGUUUAACUCUGGUGUGUUGGUGAGUGGAACUGAAUUCUUUCUAGUUUGUUGUCAUGAUUUUCGUCCUUUUGUAGGAUGUAUUGGCUAGGCUACGUUUAGUGGUCAAAUGUACUGGGUUGUGGCUUCUCGAUUUCUUGUCGCUUAAUGCUGGAAAAUGUGGUACUAGGCAUGCGCUGCGGUUAUAGUGAUGUGUGGUUUUGUAUAGAUAGAAGCCAAUACGUGAUUGUCUAAGAGAGUGUGAAAUUGGAGUAGAGAUCGAUGUUAGAACCUUCAAUGUAAAGAGUACGUGAUGGGAGAGAUAGUACCUCAGUAUGUGAUACAUUUUUGUGCAUAUCUCAUUGGUUCUGAAUGACAUAUCUAUUGUUGUUUCAAUUUGCUAAUGUAGUAGCGGAGCAGAAGAGGGGUCUCGUGAUCAAUGUAAAUGAGGGUUGAAACAAACACUUGAAACGAGUUCAGAUCUGAUCUCUUACAGGUCUUGCCAUAUGAGUUCCAGGCCAUUGUUAUUUUGUUGUUAGCGGGCGAAGCCGACAUUCAACUGGGUUCUGAGUUGGGCUCAUAAGCCUACUAGCCACUCUCAACUGGUGAUGCAGGGCGUGUUUGCCGAAUAAAAGAGCAUCGGGGUAUGUCUCUUUCUGCCGACCAGCAACUCCUUGCGGCGGUUUUCUCACGAAACGAGUCUGCAGAUUGGGGGAGCAUUUCCUUUGUCUUUUUUCUGUUCGCGGGUGUUGUGCGAACUGGAUUGAUCUGGUUCGGAAAGUGAGCGCCUCGGUGAUAGUGAAUUGAGUGGGUCGUUUGGUGUGCGAGGUUUUUAUAAAAGAAAGAUAUAUUUUGAUUUCAAUUUUGUUUUAGUUUUUUCUGUUUUUCAACUUUUUAUUCGAAAGAGGCCUAGGAGGAUUAGUUUGUCUACUCUACCUCUCGGAAGGGGGUUGUGGUGAAGUUGAAGUGAAAGUUUGUCUGUAUUUUAGUAAGGUGAUGCAUUGGAGUGGUUCCCUAGUUCCUAACUGCAGGGUAAUGUCUAGGUUGAGGGGAUUUUACAUGCACCACUAAUUGGGCACUUAGGUUCUGAAUUUGAGUGUGUUGCUUUGGCACUUGGGCAAUUUUCACCAGAAAGCUAUCAAUGUUUGUUGUUAGGCAAUAGUAGAAGUUAUGUGUGGAUUUUUGGCUUGUUUCUCUCAUUUUAUUGUUAAUGGACUAAGCAAACAUUUAAUUAGGUUAAGAGUUGGUUUUAUAAGCCUAUGAUGAUGGUUAGGAGAGUGCUUGAUAUUUCAUUAACUUUACACAAAUACUUACACCCAUUAGAAGGAUCUAACACACUAGAAUAAAGAGUUAGAAUAAGAAGCUCCUAGUCAUAAAGUAGUGUGCAAACUUCUCUAUGUUUGAGUAGACAUUGAGAAUAUUUAGUGAUAUUCUUUUGAUGGCUAUUUUUGUGAGCAAUCAAAAAUCUCUUUAAAAGACUUUGAAUCCUAGUCGACACAUGUGGGUGGUGUUGGGGUUGAUUGUGAUUUGAGGUAAUCAAGGAAGUAGGAAUUGCGAUCUCUUGACAUUGUGGUGGUUUGUGGGAGCCAUUUGAUUUUUUUGAAUUAUGAUAUAAGAUGGUUAAUUUUUACAUCAAAGUUGUAGAUUGAAGUAAAGAUAUUAAAUAUGUAAAGAAUUAAAUGUUGGUUUUAAGAUUAUUCAAUAUUAAUGGUUUAGUUUUAGAAUUAUAAAUUCAAUUUGUAGGGUGGAAGUUUGUAUGGUUUGUGGGACAAUGUAAAAAAAAGAGUGUUUGAUAUAUAUUCUUGAAAUAGCAAUUAAAUCUAAUAUGUAAUUUUCUAUAAGUGUUAAGAAGGUGAAAUUGGAUUUUUUUAAAUUUUUUUAAUCCAUUAUGGAAUAUCUUUUGGAAUUAUUUAAGCAAUAUGUAUUCUUCAUUUGGAGUUAUUUAUAUGGUUUUGUUAUAUCAAGAUCAUCAAGCAUCAUGAAACAUGACAAAAUAUCAAAUAUGCAAGGUAUUUGUGGAAAUAUUUGGAAAGGAUCUGAAUUCUAUAUUGGAGCAUUUGAGGUUUUAUUAAAGAAAAGCCACUUGUUGAAUAGAAACCAAUGUGCUAAUUUGUGCAAGAAAAUUGAACAUGUUACAAAGAUAUUUGACCAGCUAAUGUCUUAUAUUAAUGAUAGACCUGAGUUUGGACCUUUUUUGACUGAGUUUUUUUUUUUUAUUAAAUAAAUCUUAUUAUUUAGUAGAAAAUUGUGGAAAAGAAAAUUGGUGUGAAGAAGCUAUCUUCCAAUUGAAUAACAAGGAGUCUUUUAGAAAAUUACUUUUGGAUUUAAAAUGUUGUUGUGAUAUAGCAAAUGAUGUGGUUUUGAAAUAUUAUCCCAACAAAGUCAAAGACAAUAGCUUUGCAAUUUUUAAUGUUGCAACACAUGAUGAAAUAGAAGAAGAUAUUGAAUUUCUAUGGAAGAAGUUGAUCCAUGCAAAUGAAGAAGAAGAUUUUGAAUACUUUGGAAUAGUAAAGCAUUUACUACAAAGGUUAGAAGACUUACUUUAUAUAGAAGGUGAAGAGUUGAGUGAUUUAAAACUAUUAUCAAAUAUACAAAGUCAUGAAAUCACAAAAUACUUAAGUAAAGGAAGUUAUGGCAAAGUUUAUAAGUUAAAGUGGUUGGGACUUGUGUGUGCCACUAAAAAGAUGGAUGUUAUAUUUGAUAAAAUUUUCAUUAGAGAAGUAAGCAUUCUAGCAAGUUUGAACCAUACUAACUUGAUAACCUAUUAUUUUGCAAUGAAAAGAAGUGCCAAUGGAAGUAUAGAAUUUUUUGUAAGAGAAAAUGAAAAGGAGUAUUUAUACAUUGGAAUGGAAUUGAUGCAAAACAAUUUGAGCAAUAUGUUGAAAGAAGAAAAUGAUGUAUCAUAUAUUUUUCUUAUUGAUAUUAUGCAUCAAAUUGCAAAAGGGAUAUGUUACUUACAUGACAUGCACAUUGCACAUCGAGGUCUAAAGCUUGAGAAUAUUUUGGUUAAUAUUGUGAAGUCAAAGAUUAUGAAUAAUAUUGUUCGACAUGCUAUAGUAAAAGUGAUUGACUUUAAAGUGUCUAAGAUUGAAGUUGGAAGAAAUCCAAAAGCUAGAGAGAAUAAUUAUAUUUAUGGUAGUCUUGGAUAUAUGGCUCCAAAGGUAUUAAAAAAUAAAUUUCAAACAAUGACAAUGUGUCUUUUUGAAGCUGAUGUUUAUUCAUUUGCAAUGAUAUGUUCUAAGAUUCUUUCAAAAGAAGACCCAUUUGAUGAUGUUCAUGAGAUAAAAAAGAUAUUAAAAAGAAUUAAAAAAGGUGAAAGACCAAAGUUACCGUCAAAUUGUGAUGACUUGAAUGAGCUAAUCCAAGAAUGUUGGAGGUUGAAUCUUUUGCAUCGGCCAAAGUUUGCAAAUAUUUGUAAAAGAUUGGAGUUACUAAAAAAAAAAAGGUAUUUAGUUGGAAUUAGUGUGGAAAAUGCUCCAUAUUUUAGAGCAUCAAAAAAUAAUUUUUUAUCAAAAUAUAGAAUUGUAGCAAAUACAUAAAGAAGUACUAUUAGUAAGACUUAUACUAAAAUCCAUAGAGAGUAUGUAUUGAAUUAAUUGUAUCAUAAACUUGUAUGCAUUCUUUAAUGCCAUAAUGAUCUAUAAAUGCCUUACUGUAAGGUCAAGAAAGUAAGACUAGGUUAAAAUGUAGUAUAUACAAUUUUUUGGUUUUAUUUUUGAUUUAUGAGAGAAUUUUCUAAUUUCUGGUUGAUGUACAUGAAGAAGAAAUAUUUGGUAGAGCACAAUAUUUAUCACAAAUAAGACAACAAUAUACAAAUAAAGUGAAGGCAUUGUAUUUUGUUGGAAUGGAUGGAAUAGGUAAGACCACAAUAGCAAAAGCUAUAUUAACUAGUUUAAAAGACAUAUAUAAUGUCUCAUGUUUUGUUGAAUGCAUUGAAAGUGGUGGUGAUUGUUAUACAACUUCUUGCAAUAUUUUAGAACAACUUAAGGUCAAAUCAAAUCCAAAGGAUAUAAAAGAAGCUCAAGCAAUAUUGAAAUCAUUCUUGAUGGAGAACAAAACCAUCUUGGUCUUUAACAAUGUAAAGAAUCAAAGUCAAAUUGAAGAUGUUGUACCUAUGGAUGUCAUAUUUGCUAGCAAUAGUAGUACAUUGGUUGCAACAACUCAAGAUUCAAAGGUAAUAAAGCACAGUGGUGAAGAAGUUCGUAAAAUAAAUAUUGAAGAACUUGAUGAAGAAACAAGCAUGAAGUUAUUUAUCAUUCAUUCUUAUGGCUAAGAAAAUUUUCCUAAUGAACUUAUUGAGAUUGGUAAAAAAAUUGUAAGAGCUUGUAAUGGCCUACCAUUGAGUCUAAAAGUUAUGGGAGCAUUUUUAAAAGAAAAUAAGAGAUUAAGGUGUUAGGAGCGAGCUUUACAAAAGUUGAAAAAGGGAAGAGAGUUGGAUGGAGAUGAAAAGAGUAGUAACUACAAAAUUUGGAACAUAUUGAAGGUAAGCUUUGACAAUAUGAAAGUUGAAGAGAAGAGUAUGUUUUUGGACAUAUUUUGUUUCUUUUGUAGUGAUGUAUAUCCACGAGGCAUGUCAAAAGAAAGAGCAUUGCGAAUAUGGACCAAAAGUGAAAAAAAAACAUAUUUGAAUAAGAUAUAGAAUUUAUAUUGGACACAUUGAUCUACCAAUCAUUGAUCAAAGUAGACAAAGAUGGAAUUAUAAGAAUACAUAAUCAACUACGAGAUACGGAUAGACACAUUGUAGAAAAAAAAUAGAAUAUAAAUAUACAAGAAUGUGGAACUUGAAUGUAGAUCAAUUUCAUGGAUUAU